rnacentral:tRNA from 1 species
GUGGAUGUAGCUCAGUUGGGAGAGCGCCGGACUUGGGUCCGGAGGUCGGGGGUUCGAGUCCCUUCAUCCGCACCA